CCCUUAGAUGUUCUGGGCCGCACGCGCGCUACACUAAUGCAUUCAACGAGUUUCUUCCUGGUCCGAGAGGAAUGGGUAACCUUUUGAAAGUGCAUCGUGAUAGGGAUAGACUAUUGCAAUUAUUGGUCUUCAACGAGGAAUUCCUAGUAGACGUAGUUCAUCAGACUGCAUCGAUUACGUCCCUGCCCUUUGUACACACCGCCCGUCGCUCCUACCGAUUGAAUGCUCAGGUGAGCCAUUCGGACUUUCAUCAUGCUGGUUUCCAGUUUUGAUGAAGGAAAGUCUUGCGAACCUUAUCAUUUAGAGGAAGGAGAAGUCGUAACA
rnacentral:rRNA from 1 species